rnacentral:rRNA from 1 species
UUGAUCCUGGCUCAGGAUGAACGCUGGCGGUAUGCUUAACACAUGCAAGUCGAACGGGAUGCUUAGGCAUCUAGUGGCGGACGGGUGAGUAACGCGUGAGAAUCUGGCUCCAGGUCGGGGAUAACAGUUGGAAACGACUGCUAAUACCGGAUGUGCCGAGAGGUGAAAGAUUUAUUGCCUGGAGAUGAGCUCGCGUCUGAUUAGCUAGUUGGUGGUGUAAGGGACCACCAAGGCGUCGAUCAGUAGCUGGUCUGAGAGGAUGAUCAGCCACACUGGGACUGAGACACGGCCCAGACUCCUACGGGAGGCAGCAGUGGGGAAUUUUCCGCAAUGGGCGAAAGCCUGACGGAGCAAUACCGCGUGAGGGAGGAAGGCUCUUGGGUCGUAAACCUCUUUUCUCAAGGAAGAAGAAAGUGACGGUACUUGAGGAAUAAGCAUCGGCUAACUCCGUGCCAGCAGCCGCGGUAAUACGGAGGAUGCAAGCGUUAUCCGGAAUGAUUGGGCGUAAAGGGUCUGCAGGUGGAACUGAAAGUCUGCUGUUAAAGAGUUUGGCUUAACCAAAUAAAAGCGGUGGAAACUACAGAACUAGAGUGCGGUAGGGGCAAAAGGAAUUCCUGGUGUAGCGGUGAAAUGCGUAGAUAUCAGGAAGAACACCGGUGGCGAAAGCGUUUUGCUAGACCGUAACUGACACUGAGGGACGAAAGCUAGGGGAGCGAAUGGGAUUAGAUACCCCAGUAGUCCUAGCCGUAAACGAUGGAUACUAGGCGUGGCUUGUAUCGACCCGAGCCGUGCCGGAGCUAACGCGUUAAGUAUCCCGCCUGGGGAGUACGCACGCAAGUGUGAAACUCAAAGGAAUUGACGGGGGCCCGCACAAGCGGUGGAGUAUGUGGUUUAAUUCGAUGCAACGCGAAGAACCUUACCAAGACUUGACAUCCUGCGAAUCCUGGUGAAAGCUGGGAGUGCCUUAGGGAGCGCAGAGACAGGUGGUGCAUGGCUGUCGUCAGCUCGUGUCGUGAGAUGUUGGGUUAAGUCCCGCAACGAGCGCAACCCUCGUUUUUAGUUGCCAGCAUUAAGUUGGGCACUCUAGAGAGACUGCCGGUGACAAACCGGAGGAAGGUGAGGAUGACGUCAAGUCAGCAUGCCCCUUACGUCUUGGGCUACACACGUACUACAAUGCUACGGACAGAGGGCAGCGAGCCAGGGAUGGCAAGCGAAUCCAGAAACCGUAGCUCAGUUCAGAUCGAAGGCUGCAACUCGCCUUCGUGAAGGAGGAAUCGCUAGUAAUUGCAGGUCAGCAUACUGCAGUGAAUUCGUUCCCGGGCCUUGUACACACCGCCCGUCACACCAUGGAAGUUGGUCACGCCCGAAGUCAUUACCCCAACCGAAAGGAGGGGGAUGCCUAAGGUAGGACUA